UUUCCGGUUGAUCCUGCCGCCGGCCACCGCUAUCAAGUUCCGACUAAGCCAUGCGAGUCAAGGUAUCGUAAGAUGCCGGCAAACUGCUCAGUAACACGUGGAUAAUCUAACCUUGAGUAAGGGAUAACCUCGGGAAACUGAGGAUAAUACCUUAUAAUUGCUUAAAACUGGAAUGUUUAAGCAAUAAAAGUUCCGACGCUCAAGGAUGAGUCUGCGACCUAUCAGGUAGUAGGUGGUGUAAUGGACCACCUAGCCUCAGACGGGUACGGGCCCUGGGAGGGGUAGCCCGGAGAUGGACUCUGAGACAUCAGUCCAGGCCCUACGGGGCGCAGCAGGCGCGAACACUGUGCAAUGCGCGAAAGCGCGACACGGGGAGCUUGAGUGUCUUGGCAUAGCCAAGACUUUUCUCAUUCCUAAAAAGCAUGAGGAAUAAGUGCUGGGUAAGACGGGUGCCAGCCGCCGCGGUAACACCCGCAGCACAAGUGGUGGUCACUUUUAUUGAGCCUAAAGCGUUCGUAGCCGGUUUUGUAAAUCUUUAGAUAAAGCCUGAAGCUUAACUCCAGAAAGUCUGAAGAGACUGCAAGACUUGAGAUCGGGUGAGGUUAAACGUACUUUCAGGGUAGGGGUAAAAUCCUGUAAUCCCGGAAGGACGACCAGUGGCGAAAGCGUUUAACUAGAACGAAUCUGACGGUAAGGAACGAAGGCUAGGGUAGCAAACCGGAUUAGAUACCCGGGUAGUCCUAGCUGUAAACACUGCCCAUUUGAUGUUGCUUUUCCGUUGAGGGAAGGCAGUGUCGGAGCGAAGGUGUUAAAUGGGCCGCUUGGGAAGUAUGGUCGCAGGACUGAAACUUAAAGGAAUUGGCGGGGGAGCACCGCAACGGGAGGAAUGUGCGGUUUAAUUGGAUUCAACGCCGGA
rnacentral:rRNA from 1 species